GGGAGGGGGGGCAAGCGUUGUUCGGAAUUACUGGGCGUAAAGGGCGCGUAGGGCGGUAUGCCAUGUCAGGGGGUGAAAGGGCCUGGGCUCAACCCAGGAACUGCCUUUGAAACUGGCAAACUAGAGUCCGAUAGAGGAUGGCGGAAUUCCCAGUGUAGAGGUGAAAUUCGUAGAUAUUGGGAAGAACACCAGUGGCGAAGGCGGCCAUCUGGAUCGGCACUGACGCUGAGGCGCGAAAGCGUGGGGAGCAAACAGGAUUAGAUACCCUGGUAGUCCACGCCGUAAACGAUGUGUGCUAGACGUUGGGGGUCUUAGACCCUGGGUGUCGUAGCUAACGCGUUAAGCACACCGCCUGGGGAGUACGGCCGCAAGGUUA
rnacentral:rRNA from 1 species